UAGGGAAUUUUGCGCAAUGGGCGAAAGCCUGACGCAGCGACGUCGCGUGUGGGAUGAAGGGUUUCGGCUCGUAAACCACUGUCAGAUGGGAAGAUGGGAUUUACGGUUAAUAACCGUAAGUUUUGACUGUACCGUCAGAGGAAGCACCGGCUAACUACGUGCCAGCAGCCGCGGUAAUACGUAGGGUGCUAGCGUUACUCGGAAUCAUUGGGCGUAAAGGGUGCGUAGGCGGAACUAUAAGUCAGACGUGAAAGCCUUGGGCUCAACCCAAGAAGUGCGUUUGAUACUGUAGUUCUAGAGUACAGGAGAGGAAGGUGGAAUUCCCGGUGUAGAGGUGAAAUCCGUAGAUAUCUGGAGGAAUACCAGAGGCGAAGGCGGCCUUCUGGACUGACACUGACGCUGAGGCACGAAAGCGUGGGGAGCAAACAGG
rnacentral:rRNA from 1 species